rnacentral:lncRNA from 1 species
ACACUGCUGGUUAGGGGCAGGGCUGGGGCUAGAGUCCACGUAGCUCUGGAAAAAGUUUGGGCAGAUGCUAUCUCAUCCCAUGAACUUCUUCCCUUCCUACCCAUUCUGUCUCCCCAAAGGAGGUCCCUGAUGCCCUAACAUGGUCAGGGAACUACCUGGGCUCACUCACAGCUCUUACAGCAUUUGCUGGGACCUUGGCCAGGUGGAGUUACCAAAAUCCUGUAGACUGGAGGCAGGGGGAUCCAACUAUCACCAUAUUAGAGAUUGGCAAACUGAGGCAGCUAGCUAACCGCAGAGGGCAAGAUUUGAUAUUGAGUACUGUGUUCCUCCUGUAGAAAGACCUGAGAAGCCCAAACUCCCACAUAUGCAGAGUCACUAUUCACAAUAAUCAUGACUGCUGACUUCCUAAUGUCAGGGAAAUCCCCUCACUCCCACCAGUUCCUCCUGAAACAGAGCCUCCCUCCAUCUUGCACAGGGUGUCUGACUUAGGAAACAAACUGUACACCCACCCUCCUAAGCCACCCAGGCCUACUAGAUAGAUCACCUCCGAGUCAUACCCUUUAAUGGGGAAAUCACCCUUCUUUGUGCCAGGCACUUGACAUCGUCACUGCUCACAUCAGCCCUAAGCCCCUGCCCGGGGGUACUGAUGCCCCAUUUACAGAGGGACAAGCCGGAUUUCGGAGAGGUGAAGUCACUCGCCGAAAGUCGCACCGCCAGGGUCUGCGUGACACCCUAAAGCAGUGUUCAGUUACCCCGGGGAGAGCGCGAUGAACUUGAACCACUUGUUGGCUGGUUCCUGCUCUUGCUCGUUUUUUGCGGAUCGACACAUAGUGGGCGCUCAGGAAAAUAAAUGUUGGAAGCUUGAGAUUGAACUUGACAGCUCGACCCUAGGUACCCGCCACGAAUCCAGCCCAGCCCGCGGGGCACCGGGUUUCUCCAGACCUCGCAGGGAACAUUUGCGGAUGGGCUGGUAGAGGAGGCUCGGACAUCCCAGUUCCGCACCCGCACUCGACCAACGCGUGGUAGCGGAACCCCUGUCGUAGCGAGGCACAGACUGGGUUCAAGUCCCGACUCUGCCGAUUUCAGCCUGAGUGACUUUGAGCGAGUCACUUUUUCCCGUCGAAACCUCAGUUGCUCCAUCCACAAAAUGGGAAAUAUGAACAGCCACCCUAAAACGGUGUGGGGAGGAUUAAACGAAACAACGUUCCCAAAACUCUAAACUUACAAAUGUUGUCUCCCGUCCAUCCCAUAAACUUAGGCGACAAACCUGGCGCAGGGUGACCUGAGACAAAGGCUUCCCGGCCCCUGUCUCCAAGUCGUCCAUCCCUGGGGCGUAGGCACGUUUUAGUGAGCCCUGUCCGGCGAAACCCGAAACUGCGGCCACCUUGGCAGCGGUGGGCCCCAAAAGGAAAUAUUCAAAUAUUCUGAAACUCGUGCAUGAUUUAGGACUGACAUUUUUACGUUUAAUUUUCUUGCAGUUUUAUUCUUGCUAGUAAAGGUAAUUCGUUAGAAACCCUUAAGUGCAGUUUCUCCUCUGUGUCUUGUUUAACUUUUCGUGUUAGCGAAAUUCACAAAUUUGACCAAGGAACCGGAGCGCGGCCGUCCUCGCCGGGAUUCCGGUCAUCGCAAUAAUCUGGCUCUCGGCCCCUACUCCCAGGCACGGAGGUCGAAGAGACGGGCUUCCCCUACACCGCCCUGUGUAGAUGUAGCCUCUUCGUCCCGGCAGCCCUCCGAGAUUCCCUGUGUCCACCGGAGCGAGGAGAGGUGUGGGGCUGCAGCCCAGAACUCAGCUUCCUGGACCUCCCCAAACUCCCGCCUCUCCGGGAUUAAGGGAGUAAAUCCCUGACGCCAAAGACCAGGUCAAGGACAAGUUCUCCCCCGCCCUACUCCCCCCUCCUGGGCGGGGAUUCAUCUCCCUUCCGGAUGAAAGGUACUAAAGAGCCGACGGGGGGCCGCGGCGGGCCCCAGGCCCUUGAUGUUCCGGUUGAACAGGUGCUGGUGAAAAGGAGGCGGACCCGGCGGAAGAGUCUGCCAGGGGGCAGUGCGCCGAAGGGGAGGCGGCCUCCUCCACCCCCAGUCCCCCGGCCCGUCUUCCCUUCUCCUCUCUGUUUGCCCCUCCCCCGCAGGAAGCGUUCCCGGCCGCGAGGUCUUUGAAGUGUCGUUGAAGCCCCCAGGGCUGCCUUCUCCCCUACGCCACCCGAACUCCCGCUGUGGGGGGCGGGUGACCUUUAGUCCCCACGAGUCGUCCCCCUUUAGGAAGUUUUUGGGGGUCAGAUCUCACCCCCCCUUGCCCACACAGGUUGGGAAGAAGACUUUGGGCCGACGCCCCUCACUUCUCCCCCAGACCCAAUUGCAGGGACUUUAGUCCUCUGGAGUGCUGCGUGUGAGUUACCUUGUGUGUCUGUGUGCGUGCCUAGAGGUCAAGUGUAACUGGUGUUCGUGAGCACCUCGUGGUUGCGGGUCUCUAACUCUCGUGGGUCUCUAAGCGCACCCGCGGGGCUGGAGCGGAGGUUCGUGUCUCUGGGAGGGUCAGUGGUGUGACUGAAGCUGGGAGUUAGCUCGUGUCUGUGGGUGCCUCGGUGUGUGUCUCUGGGGCUCUGAGUCCCUGUGCGUGCGUGUGUGUCUGUGAACCCGACAGGAAGCUCCCCGAGGGCAGGAAUAUGUUUUGCUCUCUACUCGAUCCCAGCGACUGGCAACGAGCGUUUAAUAAAUAUCUGUUGAAUGAAU